rnacentral:rRNA from 1 species
AACGCGAAGAACCUUACCAACCCUUGACAUGGUUAUCGUAGUUUCCAGAGAUGGAUUAGUCAGUUCGGCUGGAUAACACACAGGUGCUGCAUGGCUGUCGUCAGCUCGUGUCGUGAGAUGUUCGGCCAAGUCCGGCAACGAGCGCAACCCACGUCCCCAGUUGCCAGCAUUCAGUUGGGCACUAUGGGGAAAAGGCCGAUGAUAAGUCGGAGGAAGGUGUGCAUGACGUCAAGUCCUCAUGGCCCUUUCCAAUUGGGGUACACACGGGCUACAAUGGUGGUGACAAUGGGUUAUUCCCCAAAAGCCAUCUCAGUUCGGAUUGGGGUCUGCAACUCGACCCCAUGAAGUCGGAAUCGCUAGUAAUCGCGUAACACCAUGACGCGCUGAAUACAUUCCCGGGUCUUGUACACACCG